rfam:Lachnospiraceae bacterium A2 genomic scaffold acPFL-supercont1.1, whole genome shotgun sequence.
UUCUGAAAAAACAUUUAUUACCAAAGCAAAUCAGCAGCUCCCGGACAUGGAUGUCCGGGAGAGUCCAACCCGGGCCAAGGAUGGCCCGUUUGGACGGCUGCGUCAGUUUCUAUAAUACUUUUGCUCGAAACUUUAUAAAAAAUACAUGUUCUGGAGUUC